UGAACAAAGGCCUCAACUGGAUCUAUUCAGAGGAGGUAGAGGGGGAAGCUCUCCCAGGAUGUGAGACCCCUGUGGCUGGAAGGUAGCUGUGACCUGGAAUCCACAUCACCUGUAGGUGAAAGGCAGCCGGUAGGAUGGGGUGUAUCUCCUUCCCAGGCUUCACCAAAGGCCUUCCAGACCAGCCUAACAACCUCUAAGUGCCUGGGGAACUGGCAGAGUGGCAUUCCAGGACUGUGACACUGGGGCUAAGGUCUCCAGCAUCUCAAGGGGAGAUGGGCCGCCCCGGACCCCCAGAGGAGAAGGUCUCUGAUACCCAGUUGUCUGGGGUUCCCGACGCCCCUGGAGAUGCUCCUGGUGAUGACAUACGUGGUACAGAGGAUUCAGACUUGGUGCCGUCUGUCACCCUGGCUGCAGCCCUCAUCUUACUGUUCCUCGUGAUGUCAUUCUGGCUAGCAUAGCCACCCUGCCAAACCUCCUGUCACUCUGCCGAGCUUCCUACUAAGUGGGUUCCCGAGCAGAGGGCAGCAGGUCAGCUGGGCUUGUAGCUCCACUCUGGUCAAUGGCACUCAAUGUUGUGUAAGACUGUCGGACGGAGGAGGAUCCCGUGGGUGGCUCCAGCCUGGACCCUUACGUUUAGGCAGCUGGCGUUCAUUCAUCUGGCCUGCUUCUAUUGAUAACUAACUUUAGCUGUGUUCGCCAUCUUUGGAAAGCCAUGCAGGGGGCUUCAGAUAAAGCUGAAUGACCCCAGGCCUUUGUGUCAACGAGUGGGAGUAACUGUGUAGUCAAUCUUUCUAUUCUGGGCCUCACUUUCCCCAGUUUUCAAGGUGGGCUGGUAGUGCCUGUCUCUUGGAAUUUUGAGAAAGAUGCCCAGUAAGUGGCCUUCUGUGGUACUCUGAUCUGUACCCCCGCAGCACACCAGGCUCUGAGCACUCACCCAAAAGAAUCAUGGGAAAGAGGGAAAGGAGCCGCCUCCAAAGGAUGCACUGGUCUCAGCUGCCACCUGGUGGUCAAAGAUAGAAUUGCAGCUGCAUACAGGUUCCCUUUGGAGCGUUCCAAGGCUGGGCUUUUAAAAUUAUUUUUAAGAUGUGAAAUUUUGAGAUUUUUGGAUGAGCAUGGAUCCCGUUGCCCAGUGAAAACUGUUUUGACAUUUGCUGCUGAUGUCUGUUCCUCGUCUCCCCGUCUUUCAUUAAAACCCAUUA